rnacentral:rRNA from 1 species
UUACUGCUAUCGAGGUUCGACUAAGCCAUGCGAGUCGAAUGUAGCAAUACAUGGCGUACUGCUCAGUAACACGUGGACAACCUGCCCUUAGGACGGGUAUAAACCCGGGAAACUGGGUAUAAUCCCCGAUAGGUCUCGGCUGCUGGAAUGCAUCGAGAUCUAAAGCUCCGGCGCCUAAGGAUGGGUCUGCGGCCUAUCAGGUAGUAGUGGGUGUAGCGUACCUACUAGCCUACGACGGGUACGGGUUGUGAGAGCAAGAGCCCGGAGAUGGAUUCUGAGACACGAAUCCAGGCCCUACGGGGUGCAGCAGGCGCGAAAACUUUACAAUGCUGGCAACAGCGAUAAGGGAACCUCGAGUGCCAGGUUACAAAUCUGGCUGUCGUGAUGCCUAAAAAGCAUUGCAUAGCAAGGGCCGGGCAAGACCGGUGCCAGCCGCCGCGGUAACACCGGCGGCUCGAGUGGUAACCGUUAUUAUUGGGUCUAAAGGGUCUGUAGCCGGCCGGAUAAGUCUCUUGAGA